GAUGACGUUGAGGACGCAACCCCCAAUAACCAACUUAAUAAACAUUAACCUAUCAUUCACUCACCUAACCUCGACCACGGACUCCCUUCGAUCCUUAUCCACCAAGAUGCCACUCCAUUCUUACCUCUCACGACCCCAGAAUCCACAGUUUAAACCCGUCUACAUUCCUCGCCUUCGACCCUUGCCACCUAGUCUCCUGGACACAUGCUAUGUUAACCCUACUCUUCUGAAGAACCUUCGCCAACUCAAUCGACUUACCCGUCAGAGUGCCUAUGUUCCACGACUCAAUCCUUAAUCUAUGAGCCUCUGCUACCCUCUUCCCACCCUUACCUCCCGCCCUACCCACAGGACCAC
rnacentral:lncRNA from 1 species